GAUUUGCCUACCUUGAGUCCUAUGUAUAAAAUAGUAAUCUGUUUCUUUUUCUUUUGUGGAGAAAUGAGUGUUUUGCUUGAAAGAAUAAUGUUCUUACUCUUUUUUCACUGAAUGUGUAUAUAAUACAAUUAUGUUUCUUUUAUCAUUUGUGGAGAAAAUGAGUGUUUUGCUUGAAACAAUAAUGUUCUGACUUUUAUUUUUUUCUGAAUGAAUAUGCAUAUUUAUAGGAUUUUGUUCUAACAUACACAGGAAGGCUAUUUUAUCCAUCUGCAAAUAUUCUUUGCUGAUAUGCAGAUUUUUUUACACUGUAGUUUUUUCGGCUUGGAUGAUGGUCUUGGGAUCACAACUGCAAUAAUGUUCUGACUCUUUUCUUCUUUUUUGAAUGAAUGUGUAUAUACAUACACAGGCAUGAUAUGUUAUCCAUCUUCAAAUAUUCUUUGCUGAUAUGCAGAUUUUUUUUGUACUGUAGGUUUUUCCGCUUGGAUGAUGGUCUUGGGAUCACAAGUGCAGUAUGUUUGGGCUAGUGCCUAAAUAGGAGCCAUUGUUGUUCUGCCGGUGUUAGGAUUUGUCACUGUUUGGGCUCAAGUGUGUGCUUCUUGAGGUCAAUUUGAUUUUGUUGUGCUGCACCGCAGGACUAACCCCUAGUGCUACGAGUCAGUAUGGAACUUGAACCGCAAUGAUGCUAGUUGAAUUCCUGAAUAUUGAAUUCUUAUUUUAUUAAGCUAGAUGUAAAUAGUAACUAGGACACCUAUAACAGUAGGAAUAUAUAGCUUGCUCUUCUUUUAUUAAGUAGGAAUGGAACUUCAUGCAGCUUUACUUGUGUUACGCUAUUCUAGAGAUGCACGAGACACCUGUAACCUGCGCCAUGGAGCAAGUCUGAGUUCGUAGAUCAAGUCAUGGACGAUGCCAUCAAAGGUAUAAUGUCUCCCUCCCCGACCAUGCCAAUGCUCGUUGUGCCCACGGCCAUUGAGCCGUGCUAGGUUCUAUGCUACUGUCCAUGCAAAUUUAUAGGAUUUGGGGUUGUAGGUUUCAGUGGAUUUAUUUAGCAAUAAAUAAAACUAUUGGUUCAUGCAAAACAGUUUGACUGUAGUACAGAAUUAACAAUGGAUUUCUGGGUUGGUGAUGACCAUGUAAAUUCUUUUCAGUUUUUGGGGCUACAGGUUUGUUCCAACUUCCAAAGCGUGGUGAACACCUGUAGGUUUGUCUGUUUCCCGUUGGAUGACUGAAACCAACUAGAGCUAAAUGUUUUGGUUCAGUUUUGGAUGACUAAAACCGUUUUGGUUCUGUUUGCUAACUAACUGGAGAAGAGAAGAGAAGUGGUACUAUCACUCACAUUGCCCUUGAAUGCACAUCAGCACUUAGGCUAUUGUCCAUAUAAUUUUAUUGAGCCAUGUUGUCCUGCGAGCUGUGUCAUAUAUUGUGGCUUCUGGAUUAGUCAUCAAUGACAACUAACACUCAUGCUGGUAUCUUUUCAUAAUCAUAACAGGGACGUUGCUCUUUAAACUUGAUGGCUGAAAUUAUAAAUGAAUUUUGAGCAGUGCAUGUUGAUACGACACUUGUGAAAACUGAAAAUUUGGUAGGGAGUUGCAAAAACUGCAAUACUCUUGCUAAUGCAGAAAAAAAAGAGAUUGCAUUGGCCUUCAACCUUUAUUCAAAAGAUAUAUGGAUGAUUAUAUGGGUGCGUGGCAAGUAUACUGCAGUAAUGAUGAUGAUGUUCCAGUUCAUGAUGCUGAUGAUGGAUGCUUCCAGUUUUAGUUAAGUUGUAGGGAUAUUGUUCCUGUUGGAUGAUGUUCCUCGGUCAACUUUUAGUGAUGUUGAUGUAUGCUUUCAGUUUAAGUUUCGAUGUUAAGAAAAUAUUUAGAUUCUGCAUCACAUUUGGAUGAUGUUCCUCUUGUAAUAUCCACUAUUGUAAUCCAACAAUUUUAUCCAAUAUAUGAUUUGUUCCUUGUGA